CUCUUGUAAGGUGAAGCCUGCCCAAUGACUGCUAAUAAAUAAUCAAAAUCAGUUCAAUGGCCGCGGUAACUCUGACCGUGAUAAAGUAGCAUAAUCAUUUGUCACUUAAUUAGUGACUGGAAUGAAUGGCUAAACGAAUCCUCAACUGUCUCUGAAAGAAUUCCGGUGAAUUUGAAAUAACAGUGAAGAUGCUGUUAAAUAAUUGUAAGACGAAAAGACCCUAUCGAGCUUUACUGGAAGCUUGUAUACUAUUAUAUUAUCUUCAAUGAAUUUUUUAAAAAUGCAAGCUUGACAGUUUGGUUGGGGCGACCACCCCUAAAAAUGUAUCAGGGGAACUCUAAAGGUUUAUAAAACAUGAAAAAUUGCUUUACUGGAGACAAACAAGUCAAUCAGUUAUAAUACAUAGGACAUAUUGACCCGUUAUUUAGUUCAUGAUAAAUAACGACUAUGAAAAAAGUUACCGUAGGGAUAACAGGG
rnacentral:rRNA from 1 species